AGUGAACGCUGGCGGUAGGCCUAACACAUGCAAGUCGAACGGCAGCACAGUAAGAGCUUGCUCUUACGGGUGGCGAGUGGCGGACGGGUGAGGAAUACAUCGGAAUCUACUUUUUCGUGGGGGAUAACGUAGGGAAACUUACGCUAAUACCGCAUACGACCUACGGGUUAAAGCAGGGGAUCUUCGGACCUUGCGCGAUUGAAUGAGCCGAUGUCGGAUUAGCUAGUUGGCGGGGUAAAGGCCCACCAAGGCGACGAUCCGUAGCUGGUCUGAGAGGAUGAUCAGCCACACUGGAACUGAGACACGGUCCAGACUCCUACGGGAGGCAGCAGUGGGGAAUAUUGGAAAAUGGGCGCAAGCCUGAUCCAGCCAUACCGCGUGGGUGAAGAAGGCAUUCGGGUUGUAAAGCCCUUUUGUUGGGAAAGAAAAGCAGCAGGUUAAUACCCCGCUGUUCUGACGGUACCCAAAGAAUAAGCACCGGCUAACUUCGUG
rnacentral:rRNA from 1 species